rnacentral:lncRNA from 1 species
GCACGGGUAAACAUGAAAGCAGUGAAGCUGGGUAGAUGGGGCCCGGGGAGGGACCUGAGGUCAAGCCAAAGAGGGUAGCUUUUAUGCUGGAGGUCACGAACGUGUCCCCAAGAUGAAGAGUACAAGAUCUGUGCUUUGGAAGCUGACUCGUAACCCCACGGAGAGAUCAGGUCAGGGGAGACCAGAGUUAAAAAAAAAAUUCUACCAUACACUGGAAUUCUCUGUUCAGCACGGAAAUUGCACCUGACUGGUAACUAUAUUUAGAUUCUCCCUGCAGCCUUCUUGGCUUGGUUGUAGCCGCAGUUCUGCGUG